rnacentral:rRNA from 1 species
AGCAGUAGCCGCGGUAAUACAGAGGGUGCAAGCGUUAAUCGGAAUUACUGGGCGUAAAGCGCGCGUAGGUGGUUUGUUAAGUUGGAUGUGAAAUCCCCGGGCUCAACCUGGGAACUGCAUCCAAAACUGGCAAGCUAGAGUAUGGUAGAGGGUGGUGGAAUUUCCUGUGUAGCGGUGAAAUGCGUAGAUAUAGGAAGGAACACCAGUGGCGAAGGCGACCACCUGGACUGAUACUGACACUGAGGUGCGAAAGCGUGGGGAGCAAACAGGAUUAGAUACCCCAGUAGUCCCUGUCUCUUAUAA